CAAUAGCGUAUAUUAAAGUUGUUGCAGUUAAAAAGCUCGUAGUUGAAUUUUUGCUUGCCGCCGAUGUCGGAACUUCCGUACGUUCGGCGGCGUGCAUCCUUGGGUGGAACCUGUGUGGCAUUAGGUUGUCGUGCAGGGGAUGCUCAUCGUUUACUGUGAAAAAAUUAGAGUGUUCAAAGCAGGCUUACGCCGUUGAAUAUAUUAGCAUGGAAUAAUAAGAUAGGACCUUGGUACUAUUUUGUUGGUUUGCGCACCGAGGUAAUGAUUAACAGGGACAGUUGGGGGUAUUCGUAUUCCAUUGUCAGAGGUGAAAUUCUUGGAUUUCUGGAAGACGAACUUCUGCGAAAGCAUUUGCCAAGGAUGUUUUCAUUAA
rnacentral:rRNA from 1 species